rnacentral:rRNA from 1 species
GACGUAGGGCGCGAGCGUUGUCCGGAUUUAUUGGGCGUAAAGAGCUCGUAGGCGGCUCGUUGCGUCGACCGUGAAAACCCGGGGCUCAACUUCGGGCUUGCGGUCGAUACGGGCGGGCUAGAGUUCGGUAGGGGAGACUGGAAUUCCUGGUGUAGCGGCGAAAUGCGCAGAUAUCAGGAGGAACACCGGUGGCGAAGGCGGGUCUCUGGGCCGAUACUGACGCUGAGGAGCGAAAGCGUGGGGAGCGAACAGG